UGUCCCUACGGGAGGCAGCAGUCGGGAAUAUUGCGCAAUGGAGGAAACUCUGUCGCAGUGACGCCGCGUAUAGGAAGAAGGUUUUCGGAUUGUAAACUAUUGUCCACAGGGAAGAAAAAAGACUGUACCUGUGAAGAAAGCUCCGGCUAACUACGUGCCAGCAGCCGCGGUAAUACGUAGGGAGCAAGCGUUAUCCGGAUUUAUUGGGUGUAAAGGGUGCGUAGACGGGAUUACAAGUUGGUUGUGAAACCCCUCAGCUCAACUGAGGAACUGCAACCAAAACUAUAAUUCUUGAGUGCAGGAGG
rnacentral:rRNA from 1 species